CUUAUUUAAUCUUCAUCCAGCCAACAGUUCCAAGUAGGUCCGUGAUGUUACUUUGAAGAGAAGCUGCACGAGCCGUGGAACGAAAAAAAAAAAGACACGAAAAAAGUGUCGCUGCUUAACUACUGAAAGUGUUCCGGGAGGAGGGAACUUGUGGCGGUAAUGCACCAACCGCCAUAAAACAUCAAAAAAGAACGAGGGAACUUUAGAAAAAUAAGAGAAAAAUAAGAGAAAACUCCCGCCGCGUGACGUCAGACGCCGAAAAGGUGACCGCGUGGCAGCAAGGCGCUCCAGGAUGGCGUGUUCGGCCUGGUCCAGAUUGGUGACCCGUCCAGAAUGGAACAACCUGCUUCCUGCUCACAGAGACCUGGUCUGACCCGUCAUAUACACAUGCCUGAGGCUGUCAAAAAAAAGAUUGAUCUUCAUGAAGAUCGUCAAAUAGUAAGGUGUGAUGAUUAAAUUCUGGGUGGCCGCUGUGUCCCCACUCUUUCUUGGCCGCUGUGCCUACAUCUCUCUCUCUGCAUUGUCCAACAUGGCCACGUUCUUUCUCUUCUCCUGCUUUCCAUCUGUCAAAUAGCUGAGGGUUGUACAUGGAGCAUUUGCCACAGGUUGGUUUUGUAUGUUUCGGUCCACUUUGUUGUGUGGUCUGUAAAUCUGGUCCUUGUUGGUUAUAUUUUUGUGGAACUGCUGAGUGAGUGAUUUGAAAGAAUGAGGUGACUGAUGGAGUGUUUGAGAUUCUCUCUCUGAAUGACUGUGUUGUGUGUGACUGAGAUGCCUGGAUUGAAUAGUUAAGAUGGUGUGAGAAUAUGAUUAUGUUCAGCAGUUCACAUUAAAGUAGAUCUGGUGUCUUGAAGGGCUUAGAUGCUUGAUAAGUUAUAAUGCACUAACAUUUCCUUUUUAGGUCCGUCUACAAAGGGUGAGUCCAUAUUUUUUUAUGUCUUCUCUGGGGGGGGGCUACCUUCUUGCCCUCCAUGUGUGCUAGGGUUUGCAGAGUAGGGGAAUAAACAAAAGAACAAAAAGAAUCUAGUCUGGCUGCUCACAGCUAACUACUGAAUCAAACUGACAAUUUACAUGCAAAGGUAAGAACACGCCUCUCUAUGGAGGUGUUUUCUUGCCCUUUAACCCCUUUUUCUUUCCACCUGUUUCUUAGGACGGUAAGUGACACACAGGCCGCGGGCCAUCGCUCUUCCGGCCGCCGUGUCGAUCUGUCCUGGCCCUCCUCGUGCCUUUCCUCACUUCUUAAAGAAAAAAAAAUCAACUAAAAUAUAGUUAUGUUGGAGGACCAGAUCUUAAAUGAGGUUUAAAUAGAUGUUGGUGUACAGUUAAAGCUAGAUGGUAGGAAUACAGUUAAUGUUGUGCCUUGUACGCUCUGUCACAAGGUUUAGACUUCUUGGCCGCUGUGCCUUUUUUUUUUUUUCUUUUUCUCUUCUCCAUCGUGGCCAUUAAUCUACCGUUAGCCCUAGAACGUUAAAGUAGAUCCUGGUGAUCUACAAAUAUAGUACCUGGCUUUAGAUGGCAGCUGUGCCAUAGCCUUAGUAUGGCCAUUACGUCCUUUAAUGCAAGUAUGCCAUGAUCGCUAACUGUGCCCGCGCCUUCGUGAUCUACUUGUGUUCUUGUACGUGUGGCCUUGCGCGUAUAGUCAUCUUACAUAGACAAACAUGGGUGCCUUCCGCGUCCAUGCACAGUAAGUCAACUAACCUGUACUUUUCUUCUAGCAUCAGUCAAGAGGAGCACCGACAUCCCUGCAUGUCCAUCUUAAUUAGAUUGCGUUUUAGUUACAAUAAAAUUUCAAAUGGUAAGGGCAGUUUAUCUUUCUUUCUUUCUUGCUUGGCCGCCGUGCCAUUACUAUAUCUAUCUAUAUUACUAUACCUGCUCUGACCUGAGUCUUCAUUCUUCAUGGCCACUGUGUCAUGACUCUACUUGGUCUUGGUGUUUAUGCCAGUCUAUCAUUUCUGAUCUGUUUUUCCUACUGUGUGUGUGUGUGCGUGUGUGUGUGUGUGUGUGUGU